UUGAUAAGCGUGAGGUCGGAGGUUCAAGUCCUCCCAGGCCCACCAAUUUACCUAUCCAUUUGCCUUUAUCCGUUUAUUUGCCGAUUUAUCGGUCCAUUGAAUUUAAGUGUUGGUAGCAGUUUUUAUAAUGAUGAGAAAUCAUGCUUAUAAAAGAACUCCUUAUAAAAGGCUUGUUUUUAAAAUGUGACGCUUAUCCAUUUCGCUUAGGCAAGAGAAACUUCAAGCGGUUCAAAUGCAAAAGGUUUUAAAUUUUGCAAAACAAUUUGAAUUUUAAAGUGAUUCAAGUUCGUGAUCUCGAAUUUAAAAGUUUCGAAUGCUUUAUCCUUUUUUGGGGGCCGUAGCUCAGCUGGGA
rnacentral:misc_RNA from 1 species